ensembl:lncRNA
CUUACGCUGGCCUCCUGAAACUGGAGCAGCUUUUGAGAAGAAAUCUGCCCAAUACUGAAAUGAACACCAUCCUCGGGUUGUAAAAUAAGAGAGAUGCUUCCGGAGGCCGGAGACUGAGCCUGUCCUGUUCUGUCCUGCGUCCCUGGCACCUGGAAUAGGGCCCAGCACACAGUAGAUGGAGAAACUGAGGCCCAGAGAGGGGAAGCGAUGUGUCUCAGGUCACAGAAAAAGCUAGCGACAGACAAUGGACUCAAACCCACGGCACCGUCUGGGCUUUUGCCUCUCUUCUCGGCCCGUCCUUCUGUCCCGCCCACCCUUCCCUCCCACGGGCCUGCAGCCAAUCUUUCCCAAGUGCCACUUUGGGCCAGCCUGGUGCCCUGGGCCCUGGGCUUCCUGCCCUGGAAGCUCAGGCUGCCUGAGGCUAUGUCAUUGCCACUUCCUCCUGUCAGACCUCCAGAGCUGCCUGCCCCUCCUCCCCACACCCUGUCCCGGCCACAGACUCUGCUACUCGUUUAAAAAUCCUGAUGCCCAGGUCUCCGGUCUGCCGAGACUGCCUGUUCUGAUCUGCCUCACCACUGCCAGGAACUCACUAAAUAUUUGUUGUUAAUGAUGUUGAUAAAUAUUUGCUGUUAAUGACCUCAGUCUGACCAAGAGGAUCCUUGAUGUAGAAGAAAGAAAAGGGCUUUUUUUUG